UACGUAGGGGGCAGGCGUUGUCCGGAUUCACUGGGCGUAAAGCGCGCGCAGGCGGUGAUGUAAGUCUGAGGUGAAAGCCCUGGGCUCAACCUGGGAACUGCAUCCAAAACUACUGAGCUAGAGUACGGUGGAGGGUAGUGGAAUUUCCUGUGUAGCGGUGAAAUGCGUAGAUAUAGGAAGGAACACCAGUGGCGAAGGCGACUACCUGGACUGAUACUGACACUGAGGUGCGAAAGCGUGGGGAGCAAACAGGAUUAGAAACCCUGGUAGU
rnacentral:rRNA from 1 species